GACGAACCGUGCGAACGUUAUUCGGAAUCACUGGGCUUAAAGCGCGUGUAGGCGGCCAGGUAGGUCCGUUGUGAAAACUCGAGGCUUAACCUCGAGACGUCGAUGGAAACCAUCUGGCUAGAGUCCGGAAGAGGAGAGUGGAAUUCCUGGUGUAGCGGUGAAAUGCGCAGAUAUCAGGAAGAACACCCGUGGCGAAGGCGGCUCUCUGGGACGUGACUGACGCUGAGACGCGAAAGCGUGGGGAGCAAACAGG
rnacentral:rRNA from 1 species